CCCUCCUACGAAGGCAUGUCUGUGGUUCCCUGUCUUUGGACAGGUAAGAAUUGGAAGCAAAGAAAUGUGGAUGUGGAGAAGUCUAGGGUCAGCUUGUUCGCCAAAGGCUCAAGAUCAACCAUCCCGCAUAG